rnacentral:rRNA from 1 species
UACGAAGGGGGCUAGCGUUGCUCGGAAUCACUGGGCGUAAAGCGCACGUAGGCGGAUUGUUAAGUCAGGGGUGAAAUCCUGGAGCUCAACUCCAGAACUGCCUUUGAUACUGGCGAUCUUGAGUCCGGGAGAGGUGAGUGGAAUUCCGAGUGUAGAGGUGAAAUUCGUAGAUAUUCGGAAGAACACCAGUGGCGAAGGCGACUCACUGGACACAUAUUGACGCUGAGGUGCGAAAGCGUGGGGAGCAAACAGG